GCAGUCUAGAGGGGGAGAAUGUAACCCUGGUAAGAUUUACAGCAAUCAGAAGUACAGGGUUCUUUGAAUGCAUCGUAGUUCUUGUCUGAUAGUUUAAUUUCCGGGCUUGCCCUGAAGGCAUCACCUGCAGCUCGGUGCGCGUGAAGGUGUGGUGUGGAGGAACAAAGACGGCAAGGAAAAACUCCAUGCUGCCGCGAAGCACGGUUUUCCAGUUGAAAGAGAGAAAAGAGGUUCCAUUAACAUUUGUGAGAGAGCUGUCGUUAGCGGUGAACCACAGACGGGUACCUACCUGGAAGGAGUCGGAGUGUUUCUUCGAACUUUUUGAACUAUUCUGUCUGUCAGGUGGAGGUGGAGGAGGGGGCGGAGUCUGUCCAGCUGCCCUUCAAAACCACACAAAACCUGCCUGAAGAUGCUAAAGUGGAGUGGGAACGCAAAGAGCCUGAACCAGCAAUGUUAGUCCACUUGUCUAAAAACGGCUCUGACCAGCCUCACAGACAGCACCAGGUUUACAGAGACCGAACGAAGAUGAAUGAAGACCUGCUGAGAACUGGAGACCUCAGUCUGACCCUGAAACACCCCACAGAGAGAGACAGUGGGAGAUACAGAUGUUUUGUGUAUAGCGGGAAGAUCAUCAGAUGGACAACAGUACAACUCAAAGUCAAAGGGAGAGUUCAGGUCCAGGAUCAAACAGGGGACAUCAGGAACAGAAGCAGCUCCAUUGAUCCGACUCCUCUGAUGGCUGAUCAAUCAGUUUGAUCUGUGUGUUCUUUGAUUAUUGAUCAGUGAUGUCAGAGUGGAGUCAGUGUGAUGUUGUUGUUGUGUGUUUGAGACUUUUAGUGUCCAUGAAGGUCUCUGCUGCCGUAGAUCCUCUGAACUGUGACAGAGCUCUCACUCUGGAGGAAACUCUCAGCACUUUCCAGCAGCUCCUCCAUCAUGGAGGACGUUCCCUCACUGUAACAGGUGGAGGAGAGAGGAGAGGAAGCACAGGUGGAUCCUCUGAGGAAGAGGAGCGUUCCUACAAACCACAUGAUCACAUGACCAGAGGGGCGUGGCCUUCAGUGGUAGUAAUAAAGGAACAGUCCACAUGUUCCACUUUGAAGGCUCAUCUCCAACAAAGCAGACCUGUGAUCACUUUAACUCAGUAUGAUGGAUUGUUUGGAUUUGUCUUUGUUUCUCUGGCUUUUCUUGUGUGUCUGUGUGU
ensembl:lncRNA